rnacentral:rRNA from 1 species
AUUGAACGCUGGCGGCAGGCUUAACACAUGCAAGUCGAACGGUAGCACAUAGGAGUUUGCUCCUUGGGUGACGAGUGGCGGACGGGUGAGUAAUGCUUGGGAAUCUGGCUUAUGGAGGGGGAUAACUACUGGAAACGGUAGCUAAUACCGCGUAAUGUCUUAGGACUAAAGGGUGGGACCAUUUGGCCACCUGCCAUAAGAUGAGCCCAAGUGGGAUUAGGUAGUUGGUGAGGUAAAGGCUCACCAAGCCCGCGAUCUCUAGCUGGUCUGAGAGGAUGACCAGCCACACUGGAACUGAGACACGGUCCAGACUCCUACGGGAGGCAGCAGUGGGGAAUAUUGCACAAUGGGGGGAACCCUGAUGCAGCCAUGCCGCGUGAAUGAAGAAGGCCUUCGGGUUGUAAAGUUCUUUCGGUGACGAGGAAGGCGAUUGUUUUAAUAGAACAGUCGAUUGACGUUAAUCACAGAAGAAGCACCGGCUAACUCCGU